rnacentral:rRNA from 1 species
UACGAACCGUCCAAACGUUAUUCGGAAUUACUCGGCUUAAAGGGUUUGUAGGCGGCCUUGUAAGUGGGGUGUGAAAUCCCUCGGCUCAACCGAGGAAUAGCGCUCCAAACUACAUGGCUUGAGGGAGACAGGGGUAGGCGGAACUGAUGGUGGAGCGGUGAAAUGCGUUGAUAUCAUCAGGAACACCGGUGGCGAAAGCGGCUUACUGGGUCUCUUCUGACGCUGAGAAACGAAAGCUAGGGUAGCGAACGGG